GUAUGCAGGUCACAGUAGAGGGUUUCAUCGGUGGUUCUGUUCUCCUGCCGUGUUCUUCAGCUGAACAUGAUCAUAAACCUCAAGACAUUGAUGUGCACUGGAGACACAAUGACAGCAAGAUUGUGUUUGAUAUAAUCAAGGGUAAUAAUUCAGUAGAGCAACAGGAGCCACGGUACAAGAACAGAACUUUCCCUGAAGAGUAUAAGAGAGGAAACUUCAACAUCAGACUCACUGCUCUCAAUCACGCUGAUGCAGGAAAAUACACCUGUCUCAUCGCACACUCAUCUGAACAUAAUACUGUGGAGCUGAUCAUCAAAGAGCCAACAACAGAAAGUGGAACUAAAUCAGCUGAUCAAGAAACCCAAAAACCAGAAACAGAUGUGGUGACAUCAUCGUCUUUCCUCUGGGUUUACAUCAUAGUAGAUGUAUUAAUAUUAAUAAUGAUUAUAGCCUGUUUCAUCUAUA